GCCUCGGUAGCGCAGUAGGCAGCGCGUCAGUCUCUUGAUCUGAAGGUCGUGAGUUCGAUCCUCACCAGUGGCA
rnacentral:tRNA from 1 species